rnacentral:rRNA from 1 species
UACGGGGGGGGCAAGCGUUGUUCGGAAUUACUGGGCGUAAAGGGCUCGUAGGCGGCCAACUAAGUCAGACGUGAAAUCCCCAGGCUCAACCUGGGAACUGCGUCUGAUGCUGGAUGGCUUGAAUCCGGGAGAGGGAUGCAGAAUUCCAGGUGUAGCGGUGAAAUGCGUAGAUAUCUGGAGGAAUACCGGUGGCGAAGGCGGCAUCCUGGACCGGCAUUGACGCUGAGGAGCGAAAGCCAGGGGAGCAAACGGG